rnacentral:tRNA from 3 species
CAGAGAAUAGUUUAAUUAGAAUAUUAGCUUUGGGAGCUGAAGAUGGGAGUUAAACCCUCUUUUCUCUGG